GGGUAGGUGGCGGAAUGGUAGACGCAGUGGACUUAAAAUCCACUGGGGGCGUAAAAACCCCCGUGCGGGUUCAAGUCCCGCCCUACCCA
rnacentral:tRNA from 1 species